AGACGAGCCAGUUUAUUGACCUGGUUGGCGCCAGCUGCUCCAUCAAGUGCAGGAUUUGACAAAUAUCUGGAGCACCAAUCUUAGGUUUUACAACGGUGAUAUUAUCCCUACGAACAGUUGGGAAAGUUUAGAAUCUGGUGGCCUCUAGAUGUAUGACUCCUAAACCAUUGUGGCUAAUUUGUUAAUCCUACAAAGGCAGUCUGGUCCUCAGGCAAGAAGGGGGUUUGUUUUGGGAAAUGGCUGGUAUCAUCUUUGUUUCAAAAAUUAAACUAUUAACUAAGUUCCUGCCGAAGUCCUACACCCAGGAAUGAACAAGGACAGCUUAGAGGAAAGAUGAUGAAAGAAGGGCUAGCCUGAAAGAAACUUCUGCCUUCUUUGGAAAUGAGAUGCAAAAAGUAUGGCUCCCUGCUACAACAAAAAUGGAUCCCCCAAGGAGGACAUAACUGGAAUUGCUGUCAUUGUUACCCCUUUGAAAAUCUCAGCCAGCUAGAGGACCAGAGACAUUCUCAUCAAGAUUAAAGCCAGAGCAACCACCACCAACAAAUGAUGACAAAUCCCUGCCAGGAUUGGAGUGGGUUUGAAUGGCAUAGCUGGCCCCUGGUACUCCUGAGUGGUUAGAUCGUCAGUCUUACCUGUUCAUUUUGUUAACCUCAUAGUAGUACAGCAACAUAUUUUACUUGUUUGAAUUGUUUGUGUUAGAAUCAGGUAUUAACCUUGUAGGCAACAUGGAUAAUAUAUUUCUGUAGUUCAACAUAAUUUCCAUUUUAAAUUCACAAUUUAUUAGAGCAGCAGAAAAUAAUGUCAAUAAAAUUGAAGCCUCUUUUUCUUAAGGGAUUGUGCCUAAGGAGCUUACUUAAUUCCAAGACUGGGUGUGUGGUGAGGAGGGGAGAAAAUGGAGAGGACGCUAUGCCUCAUUAUUUCCUAAGAUGCUCAUCAUUCCAAAUGAUCAUCCAUCACUGGUCUUAAGGUCACUUUUGUCUUCUGGUCUCUUUGGGUCUGAAAGAUCUCUGCUAUGUCCAUUAUUCAGGUGGGGGUUUGGAAAUAACUGCAACCUAUCUAGAAACUCAUCUGCCAAAUGAACUUCGCAACAAUUUCCUAUGUGGGGGCAUAUCACCUUCCUGAGACUCUGCCUGAGGUAAAGGCACAGAGCCUCACUCCCUUGAUCAAGCUUCCUUCCAUCCUUCUUACUCCAACCUGUUUUCUGUUUGCCACAGAAAUCUCACCUUCUUUCAGAGACACAAAGGGAACUCUACCCCAAGAUCAAUUUUAUAAAGGCUCAUAAUUCCAGUUCUCUCUUGAUAAUAGAGCAGUCUCGAAAUCAGUUACUAAAUGUAGGGUGGAUUAAUUUUAGAUCUUGUGUAUAGGACUUGGUCUGAAUCCUUUAAAAUCGUAGGUAUAUACUUUACAUAAGCCUUACCCCAAGGGCAGCCAUAAUUUUCUUUCAACCAUAUUUUGUAGGCUGGUGAGUCCUGCACCUGCCCCAAGUUUCAGGCAAUUAACUUGACUGUGGUCUCCUGCCAUGCACACUGAGCUUUAGCUCUCAUUAAUCUGUGGGAGACAAAUUCUAGCUUCCUCUAGACUGAGAACCAGCAGGCCUAGCUCCAGUCUCUAAUCACUAACUUAUCACUGUGACAUUUUUUUCCCUUUCUGGUCUGUGGAGAUAUUUCUCUUCUUUUGAGUUUACCAUAUCUUAGUCAUUUUGCCAUUCUUUAAAAUUAUUCUUUGACUGCUAAGCUUGGAGUUGAUGGAGAAGUUCAAGCCUAAACUCAUAAUGUCAUCCUGACCCUUGGUCCCAAACUGUUGGUAUCUGAUUAUCUAGUUCUCAGGGUGAAUUUGGAUAUUUGUAGACUUGAAGGCCCAAAUAGACAAGUGGACACUCCAUGUUAAUCAUAGCCCAACUUAUCCUAGAAAGAAAAUUAAGUUUAAUUAAGUUCCUCAAUAUAUUUCACCUAAGAUGCAAGAACAAAUAAACCCUGAAAAAUAUUUUUUAUAGUGAAGCCCUUGCUCAGAGAAAAAACAGAACAAAACCUCAAGAACUGUGAUUAAUUAUACUAAAGGAUAUUUUCAGGCAUGGACUUGUCUUGAAAACGUGCUGUUGGGCCUAAUUGUAUUUACAGUUCACACUCAUAUAUAGAGCACUGGUAGACCAGUCAGUGAGUGAAUGAUUAUAGUCCUAUUUUUGGCUUGAACAUUCAUCAAUGUGUGAGUGUUGGCAGGAAAGCCACUAAACUUUUCACAGUAUGUCUUCUCAUUGUAAAAUGGAAAUAUUAAUUCCUGCCAUUAUUGUGGUAUGGUUAUGAAGAACAAACAAAACACAGCCAAAUGAUGCUAUAAAUCUGUUUUGAGAUUAUCCCUGGCACAUUUACCUAGUAAAAUUUUGCAUUCAUUUUGCAUAGUAAAAUGAAUAGUUGUUAUUUUAAAAGAGGGUAAAAAAAAUAAGCUAAGUAAUUCAAGAAUCUAAAAACAACUAUAAAAUAAGCAAUACAUUAAACAAAUAUUAAAAUUACUUAACCAAAAAGAAAGCUAUUUUGUUUAAAAGAUUAGUAGAAUUAAGACGAGAUUUUAAAUGUCUCUUUCUACUGAGGUUAAUGCUAAAAAAUUGUAUCUUUGAGUUUUUUUUUCUUUUUUUAGAAAAUGAUAGUGGAAAAAUUUUUAUCAGAAGAAAGCUUAAAAGCAUAGGUAAAAUUAGCCUUUUUUUCUAGAGAAAAUAUAAGUAUCAAAAAUGACAGAAGGAAUAGAUCAAUUAAAUACUGUAAAGAGUAUAUAGCUAAAAAUAAUCAAUUCCCAAUGUCUCAAAAUUCACCUUAUAGUACUAAUUAUAACUGUGGCCAAAUCUCCAAGGUACAGAUAAUGCUUAUAUAUUAUGACCUUUCCAGACACUAUAAAAAGAGGACAACCUGUCAAGAAAGUUUAUUACUAUCUUUGGUUUUUCAUGUUAUGAUUGUUUAUCUGCUAAGAAAUUAUUGGAACUGUUAUUACAGUUUGUUAUUAAUGCCAAAAAUUAGAUCGAUAUGCAAAGGCCAAUGGAAGAAAUAGUUAGCAACAAUAAGAGAAAAAAGUAUAUAGAGAAAAAAUAUCUAAAAUAUCAGAAAAACCUUUAUGAUAUCAAAGAAUGUAAUAAAAGUAAAACCAUUAUAGAAUAAUAAUUUUUAAAAUAUUUGUGAAAGAUAUGUAUGAAUACCAAAACAGGUGGUAAAAAUCUUGUUAUGGAUAAGAAAAUUCACGGCCAUAAAGCUGUCAAUUUUUUUCAAAAUUAAAGGGCAACCUCCCUCUAGGAUUUUUAAUGUACAUACUAACUUGGUGCAAAAGUCAUUGCAGUUUUUGCCAUUACUUUAAUAGCAAAAACUAAAAAUAACCAAAAUGUCUGGUAGGGGGUCUGCCUGAGCAAGUAUUAAAACAUAAGUAACAAUAAUUAAAGCAGCAUUAUAUUGGCACAGAAAUAGGUAUGAAGGAAUUAAGAGCUGAGGUAGAGUCUCAAGUUUAUACAUAAUUUUUUAUUGUUGAACAAUUCUAUGGAGAUAAGUUUUGCAUACAAAAAUUUCAUGUUUAAAGAAAUAAUUUGGUGUUUUGAGAUAUGUAUUUAUGCAUGUUAAAAAAUUGAUCACUCACAAAAAUUUCCUCCACUUUGUACUCUCUUUCUUAGAGUCCUUCCCAUUCUAGGAAGCCAAUGAUUGUCUUUCUAUCAUUAGAGACUAGUUUGCAUUUUUAAGCAUUUUAUAUGAAUGGAGUAAUACAAUGCAUACUCUCAUUUUGUCUGGCUUAUUUCACUCAGUGUAAGAGAUGUCUCAAACCUGUUGCCAACAGUUUUGCAUCAAUAGUUAAUUCUUUUCAUUGCUGAGUAGUAUUCCAUUGUAUAGAUGUAUCAUAAUUUAUCUGCUUACACACUGAUGGACAUUUGGAUUCUUUCCAGUUUUUGGCUAUUAUCAUAAAAGUUUCUUGAAGAAUUUUAUAAAAGUCUUGGUAUGAAUAUUUUCAUUCAUUUCUGCUGGGUACAAACUUAGGAGUGGAGUGUCUGGAACAUAUGGUAGAUGCAUGUUUAACAUUUUAAGAAACUGCCAAAUCAUUUUCCAAAAUACAUGUAUUACUAGGAUAAGUUAGAGUGAAUUAUCUCCAUACCCUCUUGAAAUAGGUUGACCAUGUCAAUCUAUUUUUAUGUAGUCAUUAUACUGAGUGUGCAGUGGUAUGGCCAUGUCAAUCUAUUUUUAUGUAGUCAUUAUACUGAGUGUGCAGUGGUAUGGCCAUGUCAAUCUAUUUUUAUGUAGUCAUUAUACUGAGUGUGCAGUGGUACCUAAUUUUGGUUUCAGCGACUAAGGGGUUGAGC
rnacentral:lncRNA from 1 species